GGAAACAGCAUUGCCAGGGUGAAUCCAGCUGCGCCUCCAAAGCCCAGAUGAUUUCAGAUCCCUUCUGCAGCAGAUGAUUCAACUGUUGAGGCUUAGUUGCCUAAAGAAAAGAGUGCAGAGCAAAACAGCUUUGCAGGCGAGCUUCGGAGCCAACUCUAAAGGAUCGUCAAGAGCACGGCCGCCUCCCCGCACACACCCUGUCCUUGGCGUGGCUCCCGCAGCAGCCCUGGCCUCGCGCCUGUCUCCUGGCCUCCUCAGAGCCUGGCCUGGCUCCAGCCGUCUCCACCACUGUGUGACUGAGUCCCCUCCCGCUCUGCGCCAUCCCCCAGGGCGCCCCCUUGGCUCUCCUGCAAACAUACUGAGGGGAUGUCCCCUCCCACUCUGGGCAAGUUUCUUAACCCUCUCUUUUAUAAAUAUAAAAAUAGUUCCUGCCUCAUAAGAUAGUUCUAAAAAUUAAAUAGUAAAGCCCUUAGCAGAGUGCCUGCUUAAGAGUGAUCUCUCAGAAAAUAAGUUUGUUCUUGUAAUAAUAAACAACAACUCGAGUCCA